GUCAGAAUUUUAAGUUUAAAGUUAAUUUCUGCUUUUGGUUUAUCACAGAUAAAAUGGCCACACCUUAGAUCUGGUGAUAACACAUGGACUGUUGAUGUAUCCUCUAUUUAUAUGGCUAUGUCUGAUCAUUAUUGUGUAUUCUUCUCGGUUAUAGCCUGCACAGCACAGAGAAAUACAGAACGCCUUGUUAAACGGUGUUCUCACCCCUGAGGUUGCUGCAAAUUUCAUGACCCGUUUAGAAAGUAUACCAGCAGUUAUUCUACCCUCCUCAUGUGAUGAUCUGGUAAAUCACCUAAUUACCAAACUUAGGACAACUAUUGACACUGUUGCCCCUGUCAAACAAAAAAAGGACAACCCCAAACAGAGAGCCCACUGAAAAAAUUACGAAAGUACUAAAUUGUAGCAGAACGAAAAUGGAGAAAGUCUAAAUUACAUGUCCACCAUGACAUUUUCCAUGAGCAUCUUGGCGUGUACAAUAAGGCAAUCAGAAAUGCUAGACAAGCUCAUUUCUCCAAACUGAUCAGUGAUAAUCAGAACAAUCCAAAAAUCCUCUUCUCAACAAUUGACUGUCUGAUUAACCCUGUCCCCUUAGACUCCGGUGAUCUUUUUCCACAUCCAGAUGUGAAGGGUCUGAAGCAUACUUCAGGGGUAAGAUAUCCACCAUCACGUCUGGUAUUGCUCAGCUAAGGAGUGAUGCCUUAGAAUCCCCUACCUCAUUAUGUGAGGUAACCCUGGAGUCUUUUGCCCUGGUUGACGCUGAAAUGCUUAUGAAGGUAGUAUCACAUCUUAAGCCCUCCACUUGCCCUCUUGAUCCUAUCCCCAACACCUUUUUUAAAACAAUUUUUAACUGUUUAUCAGAUGAGAUCCAAGCUAUCAUGAACUAUUCUUUACAGACAGGUGUUUUUCCAACCACACUUAAGACUGCUGUGGUGAAACCCCUCCUGAAGAAAAACAACCUUGACUCAUCAGUCCUCAGCAAUUUUAGACAAAUUUCUAGUCUUCCUUUUUUAAGCAAAAAGAAACAGCCUUGGUAAAGGUUGUGAACGACCUUAGAAUCAACUUGGACACAAAAAAACUCUCAGUCCUUGUUCUCCUUGACCUGAGUGCAGCUUUUGAUAUGGUCGACCACAAUAUUCUCUUAGACAGACUUCAUAAAUGUGUUGGCCUCUCUGGCACUGUUCUUAACUGGUUUACAUCUUACCUCACAGGUAGAAUUUUUUGUUGCCCUUGACGAACACUCCUCUAAGAAUCAUGACAUCAACUGCGGCAUACCACAAGGCUUGUUCCUAGGUCCAGUCCUUUUCUGUCUGUAUAUGCUGCCCCUUGGCAGUAUCAUCAGGAGACAUGGCAUCAAUUUUCACAGUUCCACUGAUGACACUCAACUCUAUAUUGCGGUGUCUCCUAAUGACACAAGCCCGAUUGAUGCCCUCCAUAAGUGUAUUUUAGACAUUAAUGCUUGGAUGGCUCAGAACUUCCUUCAGCUCAACCAGGACAAAACAGAGGUACUCGUCAUUGGAGCAGAGGCACAGAGAGAAACCGACCUCUAAAUUGAAGUCACUGGCACUCAGUCCCAGACACCAGGCUAAAAACCUAGGUGUCAUCAUUUUAUCACUAGUAGGCUGGACUAUCGUAAUGCUCUCCUUUCUGGUCUACUGAAAAAAGCCAUAGAUCAACUCCAACUUAUACCAAAUUCAGCUGCUCGUGUGUUGACCAGGACCAGAAGGAGAGCACACAUUACACCUGUUUUAAAAUCGCUGAACUGGCUACCUGUUAGUUUUAGAAUUGAUUUUAAGAUUCUUUUAUUGGUCUACAAAUCACUAAAUGGUCUCGCUCCCGACUACAUGUCUGACAUGGUUUUAAGAUAUGUACCCACUAGAUCCCUCAGGUCCUCUGGUAGUUGUCUCUUGGUUGUUCCAAGGGUCCGGUCUAAGACCCAUGGCGAGGCCGCUUUUAGCCACUAUGCCCCCAGCCUGUGGAACGGCUUGCCGGAGGACCUCAGGGUGGCAGAGAGUGUGGAUAUCUUUAAAAGAAAACUUAAAAUACACCUUUUUAGCCUGGCUUUUAUUUAGUGUGUGUUGAUUUUGACUUGCACUUUUGCUGUUAUUUCUUAUUUUUAUUUAUUUAUUUAUUUGAUAUAUUUUUUUAAAUUAGUUUUAUUAUACUAUAUUUUAUUUAUUCAUUUUCAUGUUUUUUAUUUAAACUCAUGUCCUUUUAACUUACUCUUUUUUCCACUUUUUAUGUUCAGCACUUGGAGUUGCAUUUGAUGUAUGACUUAUGCUAUAUAAAUAAAGUUUGAUUGAUUGAUUGAUUGAUUGAU